GCACCACUCUUCCUCUGCACAGGUUUUGAUAAAUCUCCCCCAUGGUGUUCAAGUGAGUGACUACCAUCAAAGAAGUCAUCACCCAUGAGUCAAUGUGUUUGUACUGUAUUUAUUUUUUAACUAUGAAGAACUGACCCUGGAAUUGCUCCUGUAUUGAAUUAUCUUGUGGCUGCCGAAGUUCAAGGCCCCAGAUGGUGAAAUUGUAACAUCAGGCUGUUUUCAUGUGGAAAUACUCCUCAAGCAAGUGACACUCAAUGCUCUGCUCUGGCAUCCAUACAUACAACAUGUUUCGGGUCAACAUUUCUCUGAAGAACAUUAAUGCGUUGAGUGAAAAUGUCAGAUUUUCAAUUAAACCAAACAGUGAACGGGCGAAGAACGGCGAAGAAUUCAAACAAGAAUUAAUUAUUCCUCUUCUCUCUCUGACAUUUUCUGUAAGUUAAUAAACUGCGGCAGAUUUCUGGUGACAUCAUAUCAGGUUUAGUAUAAUCCGCUGCAGACUUUCUGUUUCAUAAAUGUGCCAACGUCGGGUCGCCAACCCCAUUGUAAGCCAAACUUUCAUCUAGUUGGUGUGAGUGUGGGUGUCUGUACAGGGGCCCUUACUAAGCAUUUUAUGGUCUUUAUUAAUGGUUUGUUGACUUAAACAACACAACCUAUGGAGGACGGGGCAAUCGUCUCACUGUGAUUUAUUAGGACAAAUACCAAUUGUUAUUCUUCAGGAAGGACACAUUGGGGUGAUGAUCAUUAGUUAACUCAUUGCUUGUCCGACCUACUAAUGAGAUGUCAAGCAAGUAAAACUUGUUUA